CUGCUGCGAGAAGGUGUGUGCGAGCACACCAGAGCCUUCCACCAGCUGGGUGCCCUGCCUGUCCGGACCACGGCAGGGGUGAUGUUGCCUGCCUCUCCGGACUGCUACAGUUGGUCAGGCUGCUGUCUUGUCUUCCUUUAGUUUUGUUUGAUGUUUGAUUUACUAUUUUGUCUGUUACUUUUGGUUUGAUUGUCUUUGUCCAUUGUCUUUCUUUUGUGAGCAGGCAGAGUGUUAAUGGGGGGGGGGGCCUAGUCACCUGCUGGGGAACUAGAGUGUGUGUACUGAGAGUUGCUUGCUGUGGAGAGUUGCACUACUUAACACUUUCAUACUGGAGAAUUGCUGUGUUUGAUAUAAACUGGUCACCGUUGAUAUUAGCCUGCCCCCUCAGGCCAGCUCUGUCUGUCUCUGUUGAAUGUCUGUCUUUUGUGUUCAAUAAAUUGUUUAUUUAAGGAA